AUUGAACGCUGGCGGCAUGCUUUACACACGCAAGUCGAACGGUAACAGGCCGCAAGGUGCUGACGAGUGGCGAACGGGUGAGUAAUGCAUCGGAACGUGCCCAGUCGUGGGGGAUAACGCAGCGAAAGCUGCGCUAAUACCGCAUACGAUCUAUGGAUGAAAGCGGGGGACCGUAAGGCCUCGCGCGAUUGGAGCGGCCGAUGUCAGAUUAGGUAGUUGGUGGGGUAAAGGCUCACCAAGCCAACGAUCUGUAGCUGGUCUGAGAGGACGACCAGCCACACUGGGACUGAGACACGGCCCAGACUCCUACGGGAGGCAGCAGUGGGGAAUUUUGGACAAUGGGCGCAAGCCUGAUCCAGCAAUGCCGCGUGCAGGAAGAAGGCCUUCGGGUUGUAAACUGCUUUUGUACGGAACGAAACGGUCCUGGUUAAUACCCGGGGCUAAUGACGGUACCGUAAGAGUAAGCACCGGCUAACUACGUGCCAGCAGCCGCGGUAAUAC
rnacentral:rRNA from 1 species